CAAAGAGUCCCCCCCCCCCUAAGCAGUUUUGAUACGGGGCGGAGUCGUUUUGAUUCCAGUUUCUGCAUCCCCUCCCUAUUCUGUACAGUCCUAGGUAAGGGGCUGGGCCCGGAACGUCGACUGUUCAUUCCCCUCCACAGAUGCCGCCUGACCUGCUGAGUUCCUUGUGGACUAGGGAUCGCGCACUGCCACGCGAAACGAAAUGCCCAGCAUGUCAGGUCGCAUCUGGUGGGAAGAGAAGCAGAGUUAGCGUCUCAGGACGAAGAUCCUUCAACCAUACCCGGUGAGAAGCCGAGGUGCUGUUCCUUCUUGACUCCAUAUUGAAUUCUACAACCUCAGGGUUUUCAUUGAGUAUACACCGGAUCCGAAACACACUUGUGAUUGGACAGAUUGGUGGAUGGGUGCUUUUCUGACUAGAAGUUUGAAACUUGCCUUGCGUCCUGGCAUUUCAGUAUCUCCAGGUGUGGCCUGGAAAACAUGCACCUUCAGGCUACAGCCCCAUGGAUGACCCGAUUCCUCGCCAAUGUCGCUGACUGAAGCAUUGUGGGAGAUUGAACCAUCCAGAUAGCAAGAGGCACACACUGCUGUUGGAAGAAGCCCUCUGCACUUGAGCGAUCCUCUCUCUCUCUUUUGAAGGUCCAGUUGAUGACCUGCAAUAAUGACUGUCCACGUUACUGUUCAGGAUAUUUUUGUUCAUGGUCUCAGUGAUAGUGAUUCUAUUUUUGUGCUGGGUAAGAGGUUAGACUCUUUGUUUAACCUCUUGCACUGCUCACUCAGCAGUGAGUUUUCAGGGAAUAUUUUUUACAAAGGGCAGCAUGACUCAAUGACUCAGACUUGGUUCAGUGAAAAUUUCUUCUUAUUGUAAUGGGGCAGCUUUGCAAAUUAAAUAUGAUUCACUUUGAGGAAAGCACAUUUUAUCAUCAAGAUAAAGCCAUACAUUGGACAAAGUUGUACAUUAUUUAUCUAUUUGUUGAGAUACAAUGCGGAACAGGCUCUUCUGGCCCAUCACCGUGUUGCCUAGCAACCCUCAAUUUAAUCCUAGCCUAAUCAUGGGACAAUUUGCAAUGAUCAAUCAACCUACCAACUGGUAUACCUUUGGACUGUGGGGAGAAACUGGUGCGUCCCACACCGUCAUGGGGAGAACGUGCAAACUCUUUACAGGCAACAGUGGGAGUUGAAUCCAGGUUGCUGGUUGUCUAAAGCGUUGUGCUAACCACAAAGCUACCAUGCCAUCCUCAGUUUUGCUUUUGUACAACUCUAUUAUUUGCAGUAUUAUUUCCAACAUUCGCAGUACCAUUACCAAAAAGCUGCUGCACAAAUAGUAAUUGUGUUUAGUGUGAAUUAUAAGCUGGAAGGAAGAUAUGAGUACAAACUGGAUGCUUUUCUCAUUUUACAGCAUUUCGCAUCAUCUAAUAUCUAAGAUUUUGUUUCAGGCCAAGUCUAUUAUGUUUACAGCAUAGCUCUGAAACUGGACUUUUUCCAGAUUCACAGCUUGUCAUUAAGAAUGGCACAAACUAAUCUCUUGUAAAGUUGUACUGAAUAAUAGUGAUGCACCAUCAAUAACUCUCGGAGACGGGAGGCGAACGAUAGGCUUUUAUUAGCUGCAAGAGACCACGAUUAGGAGCAAGAGACCACCACACAACAUCCUGGAGACUGAGGGAGGAGCAGUGCCUCCAAUCGCCUUUAUUCUGGGGUCUGUGGGAGGAGCCACAGGAGCAGUCAGCAGAGGGGCGUGUCCAAACAGCUGCAAACUGAAGAAUGACAAUCAACAGUCUUGAAUCUUGAAAUAUUACUCAGCGUUAUCAUUUUCUUUCAAUCCAGCGGAUAAAAUUCUAUCGUGAUCUUUGUUCAUUUUAUCCAAUCAUCAAUAAUGCUAUGGAGACAUUAGAAAUGGUGUACAGUCAACAUCCACCUAGUGGCUACUUUAUUUGAUACCCCUUGGUGGGGUCUGCUGUGGUUGUAGCCCAUCCACUUUGUUCAGAGAUGCUCUUCUGCUUAACUCUGUUGUAAUACUUAAGUCAUUUGAGUUGCUGUAGCCUUCCUGUCAGCUUGAACCAGUGUGAUCAUUCUCCUCUGACCUCUCUCAUUAACAAGACAUUUAUGCCCAGAGAACUGUCACUCGCUGGAUGUUUGGUUUUGUUAUUUUGCACCAUUCUCUGAAAACUCGAGAGGAUGUUGUGUCCGAAAAUCCCAAGAGAUCAACAGUUUCUGAGAUAUUCAAGCCCCCCCGAUUGGCACCAACAAUCAUCGUAUGGUCAAAGUCACUUAGAUGACUUAUUCUCCCCUUUCUAAUGUUUAGUCUGAACAACUGAACCUCUUGACCGUGCAUGCAGGCUUUUAUGAAUUGAGUUGCUGCCACAUGAUUGGCUGAUUAGAUAUUUGCAUUAAUGAGCAGGUGUACAAGUAUAUCUCAUAAAGUAGUCACUGAGUGUAUAUUGAAUUUAGUGCUUCAUAAAAUGAGAUAUUUGUACCAGUUAAUUACUUUUGUGUUGCUGCUUAAGAAGGGAAGUGGUAAAUUAUCAACUGAACAUUAAUUCUUAUACUUAAUAAAUUUGAUCCAAAAGUUUGUUAAAAGUCAUAACACAUGGAACAAUCAAUUCUUAAAGCUACUGUAUAUCUCCAUGUAUAUCAUUACAUUACAGAGCACAGAAACAGAGAAAUUAUACGACAAGUUAUCAAGAUGACAAACGGAAUGUUGGCCUUCACUGCUAGUGGGAUUGAACCU